rnacentral:rRNA from 1 species
GAGCGCCCCGCAAGGGGAGCGGCAGACGGGAGAGUAACACGUGGGAACGUACCCUUCGGUUCGGAACAACCCAGGGAAACUUGGGCUAAUACCGGAUAAGCCCUUACGGGGAAAGAUUUAUCGCCGAAAGAUCGGCCCGCGUCUGAUUAGCUAGUUGGUGAGGUAAUGGCUCACCAAGGCGACGAUCGGUAGCUGGUCUGAGAGGACGAGCAGCCACACUGGGAUUGAGAACGGCCCAGACUCCUACGGGGGGCAGCAGUGAGGAAUUUUCGGCAAUGGGGGAAACCCUGACCGAGCAACGCCGCGUGCAGGAAGAAGGUUUUCGGAUCGUAAACUGCUUUACUGAGGGAAGAGAGAGGACGGUACCUCAGCAACAAGCCCCGGCUAACUACGUG